rnacentral:piRNA from 1 species
UAGAAGGACUCAAACCAUGGUGUCAGGACUC